rnacentral:rRNA from 1 species
UACAGAGGGUGCGAGCGUUGUUCGGAAUCAUUGGGCGUAAAGCGCACGUAGGCGGCCGCGUAAGUCGGAUGUGAAAGCCCACGGCUCAACCGUGGAAGUGCAUUCGAGACUGCGCAGCUUGAGUUUCGGAGAGGGUGGUGGAAUUCCCAGUGUAGAGGUGAAAUUCGUAGAUAUUGGGAGGAACACCGGUGGCGAAGGCGACCACCUGGACGAUGACUGACGCUGAGGUGCGAGAGCGUGGGUAGCAAACAGG